GUUGGGAACUGAUACUUUCCUGAAACGUACCUACAGUAUGUUCUACUGCCGACUACUAAAGAACGGAAAAAGGUGGGCUGGCUGUCAGGAGUACGUGGGAACAGAAGAACAAGACAAGGAGCAACGCAGUGUGGGAGCUCUCAGCCCACAACACACCGAAAUACACCACACGACACCAGAAUGCCAAGCACACGCAUCUGGCAACACACUCCGCACUGCCUGCAGAUCUACCACUCUGGCCCGUGGUCAGCCCAGACUCAUUUCACCUUUGA